UGGAGGUGGCACCAUCCCUACGAUGAAGCAUCGAGGUGGCACCAUCCCUACGAUGAAGCAUCGAGGUGGCACCAUUCCUACGGUGACGCAUGGAGGUGGCACCAUCCCUACGGUGAAGCAUGGAGGUGGCACCAUCCCUACGGUGAAGCAUGGAGGUGGCACCAUCCCUACGGUGAAGCAUGGAGGUGGCACCAUUCCUACGGUGAAGCAUGGAGGUGGCACCAUUCCUACGGUGAAGCAUGGAGGUGGCACCAUCCCUACGGUGAAGCAUGGAG